UUUGCAGCCCUUUCCUCUUCACAAACCUUGGCUUGAAUAUGGCGCAACGCCGAUAAAGCGCGAAGCUAUAAUCCCUCGCUUCCCCGCUCCCCAAUUCAUCCUCAAAUUCUAAUAAUUCUUUCUGCUGAAAGCUUGCUGGUGGCUACCAAAUCCUUAGAAGAUGUCGGGCGGAUUCUUCCGGGGCACUUCUGCCGAUCAAGACACUCGGUUCUCGAAUAAACAAGCGAAACUAUUGAAAACCCAGAAGUUCUCGCCUGAAUUGGAUCAUCUGGUGGACAUGACGAAGGUGAAGAUGGAUGUUAUUAGGCCUUGGAUUGCUAAUAGGGUGACCGAGCUUCUUGGAUUCGAGGAUGAAGUUCUAAUCAACUUCAUAUAUGGACUUCUUGAUGGAAAGGACGUGAAUGGGAAAGAGGUUCAGAUCCAGCUCACUGGGUUCAUGGAGAAAAAUACUGGAAAGUUCAUGAAGGAGCUUUGGACUCUUCUGCUCAGCGCCCAGAAAAAUGCGAGUGGUGUCCCUCAACAGUUCUUGGAUGCCAAGGAAGAGGAAACUAGGAAGAAAAAGGCUGAGGCAGAUCGGAUUACACAUGAAAUCCAGAAAAAGAAAGAAAAAGAGUUAAGAGAGCUGGAGCGAGAGAAGAUGAAGAAGAUGGACGGCGAGAUUGAUGUCUUGAGGACCACUAAUUCUGCAUCUGACCCAAUCUCAAGGCGUUCACAGUCAAGAGCAUCCAGUGUUCAUCCUGAUGAAGAAAAAGAAGCUGAUGGGAUAAAUGGGUCUAGGGGAAAUAACAGGGUCUCUAGAUCACCGCACUUAGUUGAUCACUCCCCUUCAUCUCAUCGAAGCACACAUUCCAGGUCUAUCAGUAGGUCAUUUUCCAAUUCAAGGAGCUACUCAGGUGAUGGACACAAAUCAAGAAGCAUAUCUGGAUCACCUCAACCACGAAGACGCUCUAAUUCUCCUGAAAGGGAGUAUCGAUCGCCACGAAGACGAUCUAUUUCUCCACAUCGCAGGCAUUCACCAAGAAGAUCUCGGUCUCCUUUAAGGCGGAGGUCACCUCAUUCACGACACAAAUCACCUUCUCUUGUGCGGCGUAGGCUCCCUUCUCCUUUGCGACGCAGAUCUCCAUCUAUUAUUCGGCGUAGGUCACCAUCUCCCGUUCGGCGUAGGUCACCAUCUCCCGUUCGACGUAGGUCACCAUCUCCUAUUCGACGUAGAUCACCAUCUCUUGUGAGGCGUCGAUCCCCACCUCCUUUGCGUCGAAGGUCUCCAUCACCUCCAAGGCAUAGGUCUCCUGUGAGACGGAGGCCCCCCAUUCGUAGGCGGUCACGAACACCUUCACGGCAUAGGUCUCCAUCUCCUCUUGGGCAGUCACUAUCUCCACCUCGGCGUCGGUCUCUAUCACCAGGGAGGCGGCGGUCACCUCUUCCUAGGUCCCCAAGAUAUAGAAGAAGAUCGCCUAGACAAAGAAACAGGAGUGGUAGUCCUUAUAGAAGUCACAGUCCUGCAUACCGGAGCCGAAGGAGCUUGAGUAGGGAUCGUGAUCUCCGUAGUAAUGGAGUAGACAACAGAAGAUACCGUUAUGAUGCCUCUGAAAGGAAAAUGUCUCCUGUGCGUAAGACCCCUGAGAGAGAGGAGGUUGAUCGGUCUAUUCAUGCACGCAAGGAGCCAGUCUCUGUUUCUCGCCGACCACCAAUUUCUUUGAGGUCACCACAACGGGAUCCAGAUGAUCAAAGAAAGGCCCGCCAAAAGAUGCCCACUAUUUCACCAUCACCAGAAAUGUCUCGAAGUCCAUCAGUAAAUUCACCACGUGAACGGAGAAUGAGUCCUAGUGAAGAUAGUCUGUCUGAGAGCYCUGUAAGGCAAACAAGGGAACGAUUAUACCAUCGUGACAGUCCAUCUCCUGCUAGGCAACCAAGAAAACAUGUUUCACGUCAUGACAACUCAGUAACAAGUGAGGAAGAGGAAACUAGUCAUGCCAGGGAUGGUGGUGAUAAUAGAACUGAUUCUUCACGGAAAAGAGCUAAGCAUUCACCGCCAAUUGAUAGUCGGAAAAGAUCUCCUUCAAGGAACUUACGGCAGGAAAGGUGCUCUCUUGAAAAAUUAGAUCACCGUGGGUCUGGUGAAGAUUGGAGUCAUCUGAAUGACACAUUAUUAAGGAAGAAAGACGGGGAAAAAAAGAGUGAGAAAGCUUCAGCAAGGACUGAUCCUCCUCGAAGUCCUACUAAACAAAAAUCACCAAUGCUGGAAGAAAUUGAAUACGGGCCAGGGAGACCAGAGGGGGAAAGCUAUUCAUUGGAUCGUGUUAGGGAUGAAAAAAGGGAUUCUCCAAUUGAAGAAUUACAAAGAUCACACCCUAGAGAUGGCCAAAAAUCUGAUGAAAAGAAGCAUUCUCGUUCAAGCCACUCUGAAGGCACAGAUCGGGUUCAUAAAAUGGAAGCUGUUAACAAAUCAAUGAAAAAGGUUGAUAGGAAAAACCGGGCCAUUGCUACCGGUUCUGAAUCUGAGGAAAAUGAUAAGUACAGGUUGGAAUACAUGGAGAAGAGAAAACAUAAGAGAAUGGAUAGACAUGAAAUGAAUUCGGAAGAUGAUGAGUGUCAUGAUUCUGAAAUUGACGAAAGGAAGGAAGCAAAAAGAAGAAGGAAAGAAGAAAAGAGAUUACGUAAAGAAGAGAAACGCCGACGACGUGAAGAACGGCACCGUAGAAAGGAAGAAAAGCGUGCAGCCAAGCUGAAAGCCAAGUCAAUGGAUACUGUGACUCCGCCUUCAGAUUUCGAGAAAAACCGAAAUGAUGGCAAUGAUUCAGAUGACGAGGCUGACUUGAGGAGGGAAUCUCAUCCAUGUGGCGCUGAUGACACAGAGUCUGAGCAGAAAAAGCUUGAAAUUGAGCUGCGAAAGAAGGCUCUUGAAUCACUAAGAGCAAAGAAGGGCAUCAAUAACUAAAUAUGUUUUUGUUGUUUUGGAUACAUUGAACUAUUUCUUCUUUUCUGUUGAAGAGUAACUUUUAGCGUUUUAGCAAUCUUAUGUUUUGAUAAAGUGGGAAUGUUAUUGUUAUAUAGCAUAGUUGUUUUAAUGUAGUCUGUGUUUACUGCUGGCAGCUGAACUGGAUAAAUGAGGAUUUCCUGAGCUAUUCUCUUGAUGUGCAACUUUGUGCAGACCUUGCUGCUAGAUUUUCUGAUGAGAAUACUGUCAACUAGAUGACUUGGUUGAGCAGGACCUUGUGCAGAACCACUUAUUGAACAUCAACUCAGUUUGACAGUUGUUCCGGGGACUUUGUUUUUAAUAUUCACCAAGGUGAUAUAGGCUCCUGAACCAUCCUGUCUUGAUGUUGAUGUCAGCUGUUAAGUUUCUCUGGACGGCAUCUCCAUGUAUGUGUAAGCAAUAACAAAUUAUGCAAAUGCUUAUGCACUUUCACUCUUUACUUGCAUUUUGGAGUUUGAUGAUAUUGUUUUAUGAAUUGGUUGUUUUGGUUAGUAAUAUAUGGGAUUCUGAUAAGCAUUUUCUCCUCAGAAUCCAAGCUGGGGAAGCUAUAUGAUGUAAUAUUUGUUGCAUCAUUGAAAUUUCAGUCGGGGAAUGUGUUUUUUGGUGAUUCAUGUUUUUUUCUUUCCAUUGUAAUUUUUUCCUCUUCAAAUAUUUUAUAUCAUAAUUUAUAUUCUAUUAGAAGCAUGACAUGGUACCUGGGGCAAUAAAUUAUUAGAGUGGUUGCUUGGCCGAAGGGUUGUCUUCCCCCCAACAGGUUUGCUUUGUGAUGAUGGCAUGUGGUAGGAUAAAGUUUUGAACCCAAACAUGGCCAUAUUUUUGGCACCUUGGGGAAACAUUUAGGGAUGUCUUACAUGCCUCAUCAGCAUUGGAAUUUGAACGGUUACAUGUCUAACAUGUAUGAGUAAACUUAAAGGGAGUACAGUUUCA